GGGGCGUCAGCCCACGUGCUGGGGGGGGGGGCAGGGAAACAAUGAGGCCUUUGGUAAUUGUGCAGGAUCCACCCCCAGCUUCCCAGCGUGUCCCCUCUGCGGGCUGGAUCCCGGUGGUGGCUUGGGGGCGGGGCCGGGGGCCCUGAAUGGGCCCCUUGUCUCAGCGCUGGGUGUGGGCCAGGCUCCCCGGGCACACGGUGCCCUCGCCAGGCCUGGCUGGCCUCUGUGGCUUCCACCCCCAGCUGGCUGAGGACGGGCCCUGUGGGUGAGCAGGCCCCUCCCUGAGAGCCUGGGCUGGGCUCCCAUCCCAGGCUGCAGAGACAGGUAGAGAGAAGGACCCCAUCUAGUGGGGAAGGGGGAGAAGCAGCAGCCAACUGUCUCAGAGCACCCUGACCCCAGACUAAAGGGGACCUGUGGAGGGAGAGUGGGACACUGGAGGCCGACCCAGGUUGGACUUCCCACCCUUUGGCUCCCUGCAUUUAUGACCUUGGGCAGGUUCUUUGUUUUUUUCUGAAUCUCAGCUUCCCUACGGGUAAAAUGGCUCUGACAGUAAUACCUACCGGAAGGGUUGCUGUGAUGAUUGCAUGACAUCAUACCUGGGAAAUGCCCAGUGAGUAUCAGGUGCUCAAUAAAUGUUAGCUUCCCUUCCCUGGACCUGGGGGAAGGAGAACUGAGGGCUCCGGGAUUGGUUCCGGGGUUCCUGGAAGGGCCUUGGGGGGUGGGGUCAGGGGUAGGUAGGCUCUCACAAUGGGCUAGAACUCUGCCUUCCUCUGAGUUCUCAUCCACUUUGACUCCUCUCCCUGUCUCAGGGAGGGGAGGAAAGGCUUAGGAUGAGUUGUCGGUGAAAGUUUUCCCUCUAGAUUCUCCAUUUCUUUCUUCUUGGCUGCACUUGAAGCUUCCAAGAGACCCCUUAGGUGGUGGCCACUGGUCUGCAGCCUGGUCCCCUCCACCCUUUGUACCAAAUGCUUGUCCUGCCCCCUACUUGGUGCUUGUGUAUUGGGAGAAAUGGCGGUGGUUAUGAGGUUCUUCCGAUGGAUUUGGCGAAAGAUUACUUGCUGGGUUUUCUUCUGGAAACAAAAAGCUAAGUCAACCUUCUUGGAACACCAUGAUUCCCAGAAAAGUGUAUUGAAGGUGGAGAAGACUCCCAAGGUGGUUGAGACUUUCAAGUUGGUUGAGCCCUGCAAAGAGGCUAAGAUUUCCAAGAUGGUGGAGUCCCCCGAGGUGGCUGAUGCCUGCGAGUUGGCCAAAGCAACAGAUAGGGCUAAGGUGGAGCCGGGUCAUAGGGCCCGAUCCCUGCUGCAGCUGCCCCGGACAGCUGUCAAGUCUGUCUCCAUGCUCAUGGUCUCGGCCCUGCAGAGCGGCUGGCAAAUGUGCAGCUGGAAGUCAUCUGUGAGUUCUACCUCCAUUUCCUCCCAAAUGAGGUCUGGGUCCCCAGUGGAUACGUCGGAAGCUGAGAUGCUGCGGGAAGUGUACCUGAUACUGUGGGUCAUUCGGAGACAACUGCGACAGCUGGCCCGCAGGCAGGAGAGGCCGAGGCGGCGCCACAUCCGGGCCCACACUGGCUCCCAGCCUGACACGGCUCAGGGCCUGAAACAGGAUGCCCGGAGUCCCCUUUAGGGGGGAACCCCACAUCCUCAAAAAGCCCCACCUCAGUCUUAGGAGCGGCAAGACUGAGAUUAACUGAAGGAGAAGAUUGUACAUCCCAGGGCUGAAAAUGCUGUCUGCCCCUUGCUGGAGCUGCCUAUCUGUCCCGUGGGGUCAUUCUGGGGUGCUGGGAAUGGCCUAAGGCAGACGCAUCUGCCAUCCUACACCGAAUUUGGCUUUCUACAGGACCAUGGAGGUCUUCAUAGAGCCUGGCCCAAGGGAUCUACGCUCUUCUGAUGGAUAGUGCCCUGUGACAUGACCUGAUGCUGCUCCUCAGGGGGACCUGUACCUGUUAACAAGUACAUGCUUACAUGUGUGUGUGUUGGGGGUCACCUCAUCGGCCAAAGCAUAACUACCCCUUGCAGGUGAGAGUGUCUUGUAAGCAAGAUGAGAUUUUCCUGGUGGGAUUUCUGGGGAGUACAGGACAAGUGGAUGAGCCCUAUGAACCAGGCAUGUUGAGCCUCCAAGCUGAUAUUAUAAGGGCUAUGAAGAGGACUCCCCCCCACCCUCCCAGAACCACACUGGGCACCCUGCAGAUUUGAGAGUGGGCAGAGAAGAUCUGGAGAGGAUGGAUAUGGUCUCAGGAACAUCCAGCUCACUGCAUGGGUGCCUCCAGCGCCAAGUGGGGCAGAGAUGAUGCUGGGAGUGGAGUGAUAGAAGCUGGCCUAGGAUCUAGAGAAGAGGAAGAGAAGGAUAUGGAGGACCAGUCUCUUGGAAGUGGAGGAGGGGAGAGAUAUCUAGGCUGCAUUGGGUAAGGGGAACACCCUGAGCUGGGACCACUGGCCUGAAGGUAGAGAAGGAAGAGGAGAUUUUGAUCAGAUUGGGGAACCCUGGUCUUGGUGCCCAAUGUCCCAGCUUAGCUUCGGGCCAUGGUGGGGCUCUCUUGGAGUGAUGGCUUCCCAUUCCAGGGCUUCUCCUGUUCCUCCAUUUGACCUGUGCCCUGUGUUACCUCAGUUCCUUGCUCACUGGAUGACUCCCAAAGCAUGGAGCUUGCUCCUGGCAGGAGAUCUGACCUGCUCCACCGCUCCAGCUCUCACUGCACCCACUUUAUGCUUCUAGGGUUUUCUCUUUUGCCAAGAAGCAGUUGAUCUCCAGCAUCCAUCCUCAGACCUGCCACUUUUAAGUUGCAUCAGGAUACUCGCUGCUUCCUGCGGCGCCUGGUAGGCCUGGCUGGUUGGACACAUCUAUCCAGUCAUCCUGAAUUGCCACUCCUGGCUGGGGGCUGGCUGGGGAGACUGCCAUGGCUGGUGGGGAGGGGAGAUGCUAGAGUCCUGGGGAGAAGUGAGAGUCUUGGGAAGGAGAGAGGAAGGCGCUGGUUGCAGGAGAUGCCAAGGGGAGGGGACCAGCCCCUGGGUGGUGGCAAAAGACUGAACUCUGUGUGUGUGUGUGGUGUUUGGGGGAGGGGAUGUACUGCCUGGAACAGAAGCUGCUCAGAGAUCAACUAAUAUAGUACCUCCACCUUUAAUAAUGAGAAGACUAAGGCCUAAAGAGGAAAGAGAUGGUGUUGCUGGAGGGGGUGGGGGCGGGGGGGAGUCCUUUGGCUUCUGGACCCAGGCCCAGUCCUCUCUGGGAUGUGAGUCCCUCCUAUUCCUCUCUCUGUCCCUAAGCGUGGACUAUGGACCUGGGGCAGCAGAUGCGAUAUCUGUGCCCACAGGCACAUCUUUGGCGACAGCAGUGUGGAAGGCCUCUUUCUCUGCCAAGUUCACUUCCUGCUGGACUACCUGGUUCCUGCUUGUGGCCCUUCCAUCCCUCUAGCCUAGAACCAACCCAAUUCCAGAUCUUUGCUCAGCUCAUUGGUGCCAGAGCAACACGCCUUUCUUCAGCCUAGGAUGCAGAUAGGAAAUGUGCUGGGCAUUUGGGGAUUUUCUUGGGUUAAGGACUGACACAGUGCAUGGCAGAGAGGAGCUUGUCAGGGGUGGGGUGGGGGCUGGGUCCUAAUUCCUAGGGCUCUGCUAGCAGCCCAGGUUUUGGUCUCCUAAAACUCAGUAUCUAAGGCCUCAGUUUCUUGAGCACGCUUCCUGGUUGCCAUGGUUGCCUGAUGCUUUGGACAUGAUCAGUGACCAGCUGUGUGGCCACUCCCUGGACCUUGAGAUGUUGGAGGCCGUUGGAUGGGCAUUGCUGGACAGAGACCCUCACCAUUAACUUCUUCACACAAGACUUCCCCUAAUGGUCCCUCCCUCUGUGCUGAUAUGGCCCCCAUCCCUUUCCCUACAUGGAGGGACCCCAGUGAGUCAUUCCUCUAUAAUGCCAACACCAGGCUUCCCUCCCCAGUGCCUCCAAUGCACCACCUGUCUAUCUCCCGCGUCCCACUCUUUCUCCUCCUGUCUUUACCUGUUUCCCUUGGUAACUCUCUGGAGCCUGGGGAAGCCUUCUCAGGACAAGAUGGUCCUUCAUGACCAGAUCCUUCUCACCAAGGGGCCUCCAGUCUCAGCCCCCCAAGGGAUGGGGAUGCUGCCAAGGCUGAUAGCAGACAGCCCAAUGUGGGGCCGAACUCAUGAACCGGGAGAUCAUGACCUGAGACGAAGUUGGUCACUUAACCAACUGAGCCCCCCAGGUACCUCCAUAAUUUAACUAUUUACCUGGUGAAGGACAUUUAGGUUGUUUCAAGUUCUUGGCUAUUAUGAAUAAAGCUGCUAUAACCAUG